rnacentral:rRNA from 1 species
GACAGAGGGUGCAAACGUUGUUCGGAAUUACUGGGCGUAAAGCGUGCGCAGGCGGUUAUGUAAGACAGUUGUGAAAUCCCCGGGCUCAACCUGGGAACUGCAUCUGUGACUGCAUCGCUGGAGUGCGGCAGAGGGGGAUGGAAUUCCGCGUGUAGCAGUGAAAUGCGUAGAUAUGCGGAGGAACACCGAUGGCGAAGGCAAUCCCCUGGGCCUGCACUGACGCUCAUGCACGAAAGCGUGGGGAGCAAACAGG